GAUAACAUGUGCUCAAAGGCCGUGUUACUGCACUCCUCAUUUAUCGGUAUAUUCUCGGGUCCUCUCGGACGAUCCACCGAGCUGAAUCCCAUUCAGUUCCCUUCUCUACGAGAUACCGCCUCAUCUACCGUGACCAUGUCGGAUGCGGUCGGCCAACACGAUCUGUCGACCCAGCCGGAUCCUCAGAGAAGAAAACACGGUAAGCAAGCAGGGUCUAUCUUGGAAAAUCGAACAACAUGGUCAAACAUCCUGAGCUGGCGCUCCCGUAUCCUACAAGUAACAGGGUGCACUCCCAAUUUCUGAACAGAGUCGUUGGUUGGAUACGAAAUCCAUUUAACGGUAACCCAAAAUCCUGCGAAGCAUUGUGGGUUGUGAGACUUGGAUACUGUCUGGGAACCUUAGGAGCUGCCUGAACUUCUUUGGGACAAGGACGCUUGGCAGAAUUACAGUACUUAAAGAACUAACAUAUUUGACCAUUAUUAUAGAGAGAAGAAAAUAGAAGGCGAUGAGCCGGCAGAAGCGUUAGUAUGCCGGACAAAAUACCUAACAGCAUUUCUUACGUUCCUUCGGUUCCCAGCUCAACUUUACUUUUCAUCCUUUCGGGAUCGAUGAAAUAAGUACCAGUUGAGCACUGGGAUCAAUGUAAUCAACAAGCUCCACUCUCCCCAAAAUUUCAGACCUUGUACUAAAAUUUAAAACUAUUAUUAUGGAAGGGAGAGAAGGCGACGAGAUGGCAGAAGCGUUAACAUGCCGGACAAAAAUACUAAGCGCCACUUCUUCAGGCCUCACGCCCUGAGUUCAAAAUUCGCCGAGGUCUACUUUGUGUUUCUUCCUUACGAGAUCCUUAAAACAAGUACCAGCUGAGUACUGGAGUUGAGCACUCCUUCAAAAUUUCAGGCCUUGUGCUUUGAGUAGAAAGGAUUAUUAUGGAGAGGAAAAGCUGCACGAAGUUGCAAUCCCGCGAAGCAGCAUUCGUGUAUGUUGACUAUGCUAGCACCGGGUUCCAACCGUCAUGAAGGGAGAAAAGGAAGUGCCCAUGACCCUUUACAAGGCCUCUUAGACUGGUGGGAGGGCGUGGCGGAAGGUAACUUCAAACUGGAGAUAUGACCCAAACUCAUACAACAGAGUGGACCCUGCUAAAGGCGCUUAGGAUUCCAAGUAGUAGUUGCAGAUUGGAUGAAGAACUAAACCUACCAGCUAUGUAGGCCAUGGCGGGAACCGAACUCAGAAACCCAAAAGUCAGAAGAAAUCUCUGUAAGAUAUCCGGUUCGACAUGUCUAUAAUUGCGCCACUCAGCCGCACGGGAUUGGUACUUUAAUUUAUCGACCCCCCAAAAGGAGAAAGCGCAAGGUUGAUCUGGGCGGGAUCACAGGAGGACCUCAAUGAGAUUUGAACUCGUGUUCUGCACGAAAACUCGCGCCUCUUGAGUCACUUUGUGACUCCCUGGCAAUAAAAGAUAUCAAAAUAACUAUGUAUUGAUAUGUAGAUAGGUACCUACACACACACACACACACACACAUACACACACACACACAAGCACGCACGCACACACACACAUACAACAGGAUUCUGUACAGUGUCCAUCAGCAUAUUAAUCAGGCGAAGGUUAGAAUAGAUCUGCUCACAGGACCGUGCGGUGUAGUGAGAACGAAUCCGGAACCAAGUAAUUUUGAAGCGGACUCCUUAACCAAAUUACCAUGCCUGCAUCCACCUUACAAUACAGUUUCUGGCCACCACUGCUGGAUACAAACUAAUUAACAAGAUUUUCAUGUGUUCACUUCAAACAAAUCUUAUAGAACCAACAGAAGAAUCCGAUAGCUGUUCCAUAUAUCAUUCUGUAAUGCUCCUGGAUAAACCAUCGGUGAUUAUUUCUUGGGGCCAUUAGGUGUUUCAAGUCAGUCAACAUCAGACGCCCACCUCCACUCAAACGACCCAACCGGAAGUUGAUGAAACCCUAACUUGUCUACAGUUAGGACUACAACUGGUAGUACUAAUCCUUCCAGGGUUCGAAUUUCCUGAUCCACAUCCACUUUGAGACAACCUCUACAGCUUCCACAACUGUCCUGAUGGCAUUCUGUCUACUGGCUCUUGUGAUGCUAAGCGUGUUAUAUGCUCUGCAGAGGGACUGGCCCGCAAUCCUUCAGUAUUCAACCUCUAUGGGACCACACGUUGCUUGUUACCGGUUCCUUUGGCAAAAAUCCACUAAGUAGGCAUAUUCUCUCCUCUGACUCUCACCAGCUACCUCGAUGCGGUUCUCUCAGGAAACGGAGAAUUCUAACAGAACCGCCUGUUUAGAUGCGACUGAAAUCAGCACCAUAUUCGGCCUUGUACUGCUAGAGAUAACAGUAAAAUCUCCUUAAUUUAACAGUCUGUCGUCAUCGUAUUAGAAGGCGGAUACAUUAUUGAAAGUUCGUUUAUUCUUUUACGUUUUUAGCAGUUGGACUACAGCCAUGCUGAGGCAGCGCCUUUAAGGGUCUGGUUAAACAACUUGACCCCAAUACUUAUUUGUUUUUCUUUAUAUUUGUUCUGUUGUUUUUUAUAAGUAUGGUGCAUUUACUUUACCGGGUUCUUUUAUUGUUGUCGGACCGUUAUAGUUAUAAAAUGAAAAUAACAACCUUAGGUGGUUGUCAAACAGUUGAGGCAUAAACACAGCCACUAAAGCAUACACACACACACAAACACACAUACAUGUGCACGUGUGUGUAUAUGUGUAUAACGGGCUUCCACGCAGUUUCCACCAACCAAAUUCAUUCGCAAAGCAUUGGUCCGUCCUGGGCUAUAGUAGAAGACGUUUGUCCAAGGUACAACGCAGUGAGACUGAACCUGAAAGCACGAGUUUACGAAGUGCUUGUAUGUGUGUGUGUAUACAUGUGUGUAUAUAUAUAUACUAUAUAUAUUUGUGUGUGUGUAUACAGUCUUACAUUUCACUCUUCCGUUCAAGUAAAUAUAUAUUUCUUUACUACCCACAAGGGGCUAAACACAGAGGGGACAAACAAGGACAGACAAAGGGAUUAAGUCGAUUCCAUCGACCUCAGUGCGUAACUGGUACUUAAUUUAUCGACUCCGAAAGGAUGAAAGGCAAAGGAUGGUCACGGCAAGGAUGUCUUCAAUCAAAGAUCUGUUCAUUCAAGGUUGAACAGGAGCUAAGCUACAACAACAGUAACAAUAACAUUGUCAGUGGUCAUUGUCACCCAGAAAAAGUAGAACGGCUCAUAAUGUUCAAAGUGCCGUAAUUAAUGAUUUCAAAUUUUGGCACAAGGCAAGCAUUUUCGGGGUAGGAGAUAAAGUGAUUACAUUGUCCCAGUGUUCAACUGGUACUUAUUUUAUCAAUCUUCAUAUUCACUACUCGCCCACCCCUAUGAUCUUACAAUCGGACCACUCUCUCUUUAUGCUGUCCACAGCUUUGUAACGGUAGUUGUAUGAUAUUUAUUUAAAAUAUAUGCGUGUGUGUGUGUGUGUGUGCGUACAUUCUUACAUAUACAAACACACGACAAUCUCCCCAUUUAUUUAGUAGCUAGCUGUUAGUCUUUCUGUGUGUGUGUGUAUGUAUAUGUGUGAGUGUGCAUGUAUACAUACAUAUGUGCACGCCUCCCCCCCUUAUGGGAAAUAAAGAAACAACAUAUGUGCACGUGGAUAUGUAUAUAUGCAUACAUGUAUACAUAUUUGUAUUUAUAUAUAUUUGUAUAUAUACCACCGUGAUCACCGUGACCGACCAGGCUAUCAGAUGUUGCUACACAACGCUGGUCACAAUGCGCUUCGCAUUGUUUUAGCCUUCAAAUGACGCCACCCCGCUGGCUAAGCGAGCAGGCCAACAGAAGAAAGAGUGCGAGAAAGUUGUGGAUCGCCACCACCCCCUGUCAGAGCCUCGUAGAGCUUUAGGUGUUUUUCGCUCAAUAAACACUCACAACCCCCGGUCUGGAAAUCGAAACCGCGAUCCUACAACCGUGAGUCCGCUGCCCUAACCACUGGGCCAUUGCGCCUUCUUGUAUAUAUGUGUGUUUGCGUGUGUGUGUGUGUGUGUGUGUGUGUGUAUUGUGUAUUUGUAUGUAUGCUUUUAUGUAUAUACAUAUUUUAUACAUUAUAUACAUCAUAUAUAUAUAUAUAUAUAUAUAUAUAUAUAUAUAUGACUAUCGAUUUACGAGUGCGCAUAGAUGCUUACAUACAAAACGAUCAACUUGUGUUUACUUAUAAAUUCAUUGCAAACAGUUAGUUAGCAAACCACUGCUGUCACAUCGUCACUAAUCCAACGUUAGUAACACCAGAACAACACGCUCUUCGUGAAGCAAGCAGGCGAAGAGAGACUCCUCUGCAAAGCACAAUACAUCUUGCUAGAAGUAGCAGCCAAUUUUCCCUCAUAUUAAUCACACCUUGCUGCCCUAAGAAAAGAAUGAAAAAUAAGUUAUACAUCAGAUGUAGUAUUCCUAGAUAUACUAUGCCUGAUAACACUUCGUGGAGCAAGCUGACCAAGAGAGCCUUUAUACAACCACUCGUCCUACUAGAACAAACAGCUAAUUUUCACUCAUAUUAAUCGCAUCUGGUCUGUUAGGAAAAUAAUAAAUAAAUGAGUGGCACACUGGAUGAUGUACUCCUAGGUACACUAUGGAACGUUGUCAGAAAAACAUCUUUAAUCGGGUGUCUGCUGGAACAUGACUGACCCGGGGCUAAACAGCAAUCCCUUACACCUACCUUCUUAAAGAAGUAUUGAAAAAUGUGUAGCACAUAGGAUGAUGUAUUCCUUGAUAUUCUAUGCCCGAUGAAAAAUAUAGGAUGUUUAUUGUUGGAAAAGAAGAUCGUUGAUCGUGUUUCUACUGGAACAGGACUGACCUGGGGCUAAACAGCAGUUUAUCACCUCUACCGCCUCAAGGAAGUAAUGAAAAAUGUGCGACACAUUGGAUGAGGUAUUCCUAGAUACACUAUGACUGAUGAAAAAUGUAGGAUGUUUACUGUUGGAAAGAAACUUUUGAUCGUGCGUUUACUGGAACAGGACUGUCCUGGUGUUAAACGACAAUUUCCUCGCGACGUAGCAUUAUACUAUGCCAGACAGCUUGCAAACCUCUAUGUGAUCGUACCAUCUGCUAGAAGUAGCAGCUAAAUUUGCCUCAAAUUGCGGCCAGUCGUUUACCACAUCGAGACAAAAUGUUAGAAUAAGUCUAGCUUUAGGUACACUGCAAGUAAGUAGAGGCAGCUAUGAUUGGAGCGUCUUUUGUCAUCUGCCCCUUGGACGAAGGAUGAUUCGGAACUAAAUGACAACGUUACAGCUACACAGUAUCACUUUAUGUAACACUUCGCGUCAAUGAGAGAGCCUAUAUGUGGUCACUGGAGUUGCUAAAAAUAACAGGUGAACUUCCCUCAAAUCACAUCCUACCGUCUACGCCUUGUGAAAGUACAGAACGCCAUUGUAUAAAGUAGUAGUUUUAUAUACUACUAAAAACAAAGUGGAUUGACCAAGGGUUGACCAAGCACAACAGUAUAUCAUCUAAGGAGUCUCUACGUAAGCGAUAAAUCUAUUAGAAACAGCAGCUAUUUUUUUUUUCAGCAUUUUACACCCUAUCGUUUAUAAUAUUAAAGAAAAGGAGACUGGACACAGUAAGUAAUGUAGUCCCAGAUAGCAUGAAAACGAAAACCGAGAGUCACACCUGAAAUACCUUUAUCUAUAGAUCUGCUGGAUCGGUGUAAACCUGGAGUUAAACAACGGCAAUACUAUAAUAAUCAAUAACAGUUUCACAGUUUGGCACAAGGCUAGCAAUUUUGAGAGAGGAGUAAGUCGAUUACAUCGGCCCCUGUGUUCAACUGUUACUUAUUUAUCGACUCCGAAAAGAUGAAAGACAAAGUCGACCUCGGCGGAAUUUGAACUCAGAACGUAAACACUGAUGAAAUGUUUGCCCGGUUUGUUAACGAUUCUAUUAGCCCGACGCCUUCUUAAUAAUUAAUAAUACCAACGAUAGUGUUUGGAAUAAAUAACAUAUUUUAUACACAAUUAUUCCAGCUGGAAUGUUUAGACGCUUUAUUUACCUCUAUUUUUUGCACAUGUGGAGCAAUAUGUUAUAUGAAACAACAUUAUUAGCAGCACAUGAUAGAGAUUACACCUGUUUACGUGACUACUGAGAAUUGUCCUUCAAAUCAGACAAAUAAGUAACGAUGCAGAUAUUAUGUACUUAAUAUCUUGUCUACUAAUCGGGUGGCGAUGACAGCUUGGCCCGCGAUCAGAUUACGCAAUAUUAGCCUAAAUAACCACUCGCAUCCGGUAUUAUAUCAAGGUUAGUUGCAAUUUUUGCUACUGUUUUUGUUAUGGCUUUUGAUUAGAUUUCGACUUUUUUCUUUCUUUUUUUUCUUUUUUGGCUUAAGCAGUUCUCACAGAAUGGAAUCUUAGGCAAGUUUAUUACUUUUAUUGAAGCCUCGAGUCGAUUGAGGCUUAAGCUUCCACAGUGUGUGACAAAUAUAAAAUAUAUAUGCAUAUAUAUAUAUAUAUAUAUAUAUAUAUAUAUAUAUUUAUAUUUAUAUUUAUAUAUAUAUAUAUAUAUGCAUGUAUGUAUAUGUGUGUAUAUAUAUAUAUAUAUAUAUAUAUAUAUAUAUAUAUAUAUAUAUAUAUAUAUAUAUACAUAUAUAGAUAUAUAUACAUUUAUAUAUAUAUACAUAUAUAUAUAUAUGUAUAUGUACAUAUAUAUAUACAAAUAGAUAGAUAGAUAGAUAGAUAGAUAGAUAGAUAGAUAGAUAGAUAGAUAGAUAAAAAUUACAGGUCAAUAAGAUGCCAAAUAUUCAACUUGGGAUAACUGCAUAUAAAAAGAUAUAUAUAUAUAUAUAUAUAUAUAUAUAUAUAUACACACACACACACACACGCACAUGUACGUGUUGAUGUGUGAUAAGAAGUUUACUUGUUAAUUACGUGGAUCCGCGUUCAGUCCCACUGCGUGGCUCCUUGAGGAAGUGUCUUCUGCUACAGCCUCGGGCCGAUCAAAAUUUUGUAAGUGGAUUUAGCAGACGGAAAUUGAAAGAAGCCCGUUGUAUAUAUGCAUAUAUAUAUAUAUAUAUAUAUAUAUAUAUAUAUAUAUAUAUAUAUAUAUAUAUACCAAUGUGUGUGUGUCUUUGUGUCUGUGUUCAUCCCCACCACCGUUUGACAACCUGCGCUGGUGUGUUUAGGUUCGCAUAAGUUAACGGUUCGGCGAAACAAUCCGUUAGAAUAAGUACCGCACUUCAAAAAAGUAAUUUCUGGGGUCGAUACAUUCGAUUAAAAAUUCUUCAAGGCGUUGCACCAGCAUGGCCGCAGUCUAAUGACCGAAACAAGUAAAAGAUAUACGAUAUAUAUAAAUAUAUAUAUAUAUAUAUAUAUGUACAUGUACAUAUACAUACACAGUGUAUAGGCGCAGGCGUGACUGUGUGGUAAGAAGUGCUUACCAGCCACAUGGUUCCGGGUUCAGUCCCACUGCAUGGCACCCUCGGCAGGUGUCUUCUACUAUAGCCUCGGGCCGACCAAAUCCUUAUCUGUUGACGGAAACUGAAAGAAGCCCGUUGUAUGUGUGUGUGUGUGUGUGUGUGUAUCUGUGUAUGUGUGAUUCUCCCCCACCCACAUAGAUUGACAACCGAUGUUUGUGUGCUUACGUCCCUGUAACUUAGCGGUUCGGCAACUAAUCGAACUGCAAGAAACAGAAAUUUAAAGGGUUAUAGUUAAUCAUAUCGUUAGCCAGUAGUUUUAUUUCUGUUUGUUGUUAGUUUUAUCCGGCACCAUUUGUCGAACGGCUAGCUACGGAACGUAAAGUGUGACGAGCAUAAAAACGAACAUGGAUUUGUUUAAGACUUUUGUAAACGUAAACUCACCCAUAUGCAUGUGUACGUGUAUGCGCGUGUGUAUAUGUAAUCACACAUGCACACACACACACAAACACACACACACAAAUGUGAUUUUAUAUAUAUAUAUAUAUACCAGAGUACGCACAUAAAUGCGAAACAAGGUGGGAAAAAUAUUACUAGAAUACCAGAGGUAUAAUAAUCCUCUUUUUUAAAACAACAAAAAAAUAUCACAAAAACUGUUACCCAGAGUUUCAUGUUCCCGUUCGUCGGACAGUUUUGUAUAUAAAGCUGUCCGACGAACGGGAACGUGAAACUGUGAGUAACAGUUUUUGUGGUAUUUUUGCUGCUUUUAAUAAAGUGUGUGUGUGUGUGUGUGUGUGUGUGUAUGUGUAUAUAUAUGUAUAUAUAUCGGUAUCGCCUAGGCUAUCGGAUGUUGUUAUACAUCGCUGAUCACCAUGCGUUUCACAUCAUUUUAACUUUCGAAUGAUGCCACUCCACUGGUUAGUCCGUCACAGGAUUACCCAUUUACAGCCGAGUGGACUGGAGCAACGGGAAAUGAAGUGUUUUGCUCUCGAACACAGCGUGCAGCCAGUCUGAGAAUCGAAACCACGAUCUCACAAUCGUAAAUGCGACACCCCAAACCACCAGGCCACGCGCCUUCACGUAUACAUCGGUUAGAUAAAACUCAAAGACAUAUUCUCUGUUGUUUCUUACUUGUUUCAGUCAUUGGGUUGCAACCAUGCUGGAGUACAGCCUCCAAGGGUUUAGUCGAACAAAUUGACCCCAAUACUUAUAUUUUGUAGUUUGAUUGUAAUUCCAUUGGUAUUUUCUGUCGGACCGCUAAUUUACAGGGACAUCAACAAAGUAACGUCAAGCGGUGUUGGGUUAAGCGCAAACCCAAAGACAUAUGCACAAUCCCAUACGUGUGUUCCUAUCUGUGGAAGAGCGUCGGCUCGAAACGUUAAAGACUUUUUCACUUACCGAGCGUUAUACUAAUACAUCUGUUCGUUGUCUACACCACCUGUCUUCGUCUUUUGUUUUUUUUUUGUGAAUUUUCCCCCUAUAAAUAUAUAUACACACUCGCAUAUGUAUGUAUGUAUGUAUGUAUUAUGUAUGUAUGUGUGCAUGCAUGUAUGUAUGCGUGUGUAUGUUUACGAUGAGUUUGCAUACUCUUUCCUUCAACUAAAUUCACUCACAACGCAUCUGUUGGCCCGUGGGUAGAGCCCAAGAUGUGAAGGCACUUGUGGUAGUAGUUAGAGUAUUCAGUUCGAGAAUUUAUGUUCGUGAGUUCGAUUUCCGGUUGCGUGUUGCAUCCCUUGAGCAAGACACUUCAUUUCACGUGGCUUCCGUCAAGUCAACUGACAGAAAUGAGUUGUACUUGUAUUUCAAAGGGCCAGACUGGUCACAUUAUGUGUCACGAUAAAUCUCUUUGAAAACUACGUCAAGGGGUUACGCGUGUCUGCAGAGUUCUCAGCCAUUUGCACGUUAAUUUUGACGAGCAAGGCUGUUCCUUUGAUCGGAUCGCCCGAAACACUCACCGUCGUAACAGACAGACUGCCGAAUAGUUUAAGACACUUACUCAACGUGACGCACUAUAGGAUUGUACUCGAAACAACGUGGCUGGAAAGUGUAUGAAUACAUGUACUUUUUUUUGUUGUUUUUAUUUCUAAGCAGCAGAAAUAGCAAAGUGUCUUAAAGGAUGAGAGUUUCAUGCAUGAUAUAUCUCUUUACUCUUUUACUCUUUUACUUGUUUCAGUCAUUUGACUGUGACCAUGCUGGAGCACCGUCUUUAGUCGAGCAAAUCGACCCUAGGACUUAUUCUUUGUAAGCCUAGUACUCAUUCUGUUGGUGUCUUUUACCGAACUACUAAGUUACGGGGACGUAAACACACCAGCAUCGGUUGUCAAGCGAUGUUGGGGGGACACAGACACACAAACAUAUACACACACACACAUAUAAAUAUACAUAUAUACGGCGGGCUUCUUUUAGUUUCCGUCUACCAAAUCCACUCACAAGGCUUUGGUCGGCCCGAGGAUAUAGUAGAAGAUACUUGCCCAAGGUGCCACGCAGUGGGAAUGAACCCAGAACCAUGUGGUUGGUAAGCAAGGUACUUAUCACACAGCCACUCCUGCGCCUCUAUAAAACUUAUGAGUGAUAUGCGCGAAACGCCCAUUCCCUGAGUUACUUUGCAGUUUCUGCCAUUUGAAGAUAAAAA
rnacentral:lncRNA from 1 species